GACGAACGCUGGCGGCGUGCUUAACACAUGCAAGUCGAGCGGUAAGGCUCCUUCGGGAGUACACGAGCGGCGAACGGGUGAGUAACACGUGAGCAAUCUGCCCUUCACAUCGGGAUAAGCACCGGAAACGGUGUCUAAUACCGAAUACGACCACUUCCGGCAUCGGAUGGUGGUGGAAAGUUCCGGCGGUGAAGGAUGAGCUCGCGGCCUAUCAGCUUGUUGGGGAGGUAACGGCUCACCAAGGCUUCGACAGGUAGCCGGCCUGAGAGGGUGACCGGCCACACUGGGACUGAGACACGGCCCAGACUCCUACGGGAGGCAGCAGUGGGGAAUAUUGGACAAUGGGCGAAAGCCUGAUCCAGCAACGCCGCGUGAGGGAUGACUGCCUUCGGGUUGUAAACCUCUUUCAGCAGGGACGGAGCGCAAGUGACGGUACCUGCAGAAGAAGCACCGGCCAACUACGUGCCAGCCGCCGCCGUAACAC
rnacentral:rRNA from 1 species